rnacentral:rRNA from 1 species
AACGAACGCUGGCGGCGCGCCUAAUACAUGCAAGUCGAGCGAGAAGACGUAGCAAUACGUUUGCAAAGCGGCGAACGGGUGAGGAAUACAUGGGUAACCUACCCUCGAGUGGGGAAUAACUAGCCGAAAGGUUAGCUAAUACCGCGUACGCUCCUUGGACUUCGGUUCAGGGAGGAAAGCGAUACCGUGGGUACCGCGCUCUUGGAUGGGCUCAUGUCCUAUCAGCUUGUUGGUGAGGUAACGGCUCACCAAGGCUUCGACGGGUAGCUGGUCUGAGAGGACGAUCAGCCACACUGGCACUGCGACACGGGCCAGACUCCUACGGGAGGCAGCAGUAAGGAAUAUUGCGCAAUGGGCGAAAGCCUGACGCAGCGACGCCGCGUGGGGGA